ensembl:lncRNA
GCUUGUUAGAAUGAUUAGAAGAGAGACAAUGUGGAGAUAUCUAAGGGGACCUAUAAAAAGAUUUUAAACUUUUAUAGAUUUUGUUGAACAGAGGUGAGCUCAUGGAUAACUAAUUCAUCACUUCCUUUCUUCUGCCCCAUCAAAGAAAAACCCUAUGAUAUGCAUGUCAACUGCUAUAGUUUACAGGGGGUUCUAAGAGCCAAGAAAAGCUUUUGGUCUUAUUAGGAAUUUUUAAUGGGGACUCUAGGCAAUUCUUGGCUGAGAUAGCUAGUAAGUGAGGUUCCAAAGAGGAAAUCAGUCAAUCAGCAAAUAAUUGUUAAUGAUUGUUCAAGGCUCAUUAAUUCAAUCCUUACUAAUCUAGAAUUCCUGUUAAUUCAGAUGUGGGCUGGGCUGAAGUUUACUUUUAUAUUAUAUAGGAAAGAAGAGGUUUGGUUGGCAAAUUAAUAGUUUAAACAAGAUCUAAGGAGAUAUUGAUAUUUAACACACUUAAGAAUAGGAUUUGGGCUUUAUUUUUGUUUUGUUUUCUUGUAAAUAGAAUUAUAUGCUAGAACAACUAUAACAAAAAAGGCCUAAAUUCAGGUUUGAGUCCUUGUAGAAAAGAAUCCAUUUGCUUUUUAAGGGAUAAGGGAGAUGAUGACUGGCCCUGUGGUCCUCAAAGCAUCUUUUAGCUUAUCCCAGCCAGAUUAAUGCAAGUUUUUGAAUACUAUUUUUUAUUCUCCACUUCAAAAAUUUUAGCAGCCCCAAUUAUGUGUAGAUUAUGUGCUAGAAAAAAACUACUUUUUUUGGUGAGGCAGUUGGGGUUAAGUUAUUUGCACAGCAUCACACAGCUGGCAAAUGUUGUGUCUGAGAUUAGAUGUAAACUCAAGUCCUCCAGAUUUCAGGACAGGUGUUCUAUCUAUGGAAUUUCUUAAAAGUUACUCCUUAAAGCAGGUCCCUCAGGAUCUCUCUUUGGCUGUGCCUCAUCAGCCAUGAGUUUGGGUCCUUGAAAAGAUCAAAACUUAAUUUCUUUCAAAUUAUCCUAUGGUUGAGAUUUUUCAUUGUUGAGACUGGUUCUCCACCCAACGCCCAGUUCCUUUUCUCCCUAAUCCAAGUUGCUGAGGUUUAUACUGGUUUUCUAAGUUUCAGAUUCAUACUUUACCCUCCUUCCUUUUUAAAAAUCAUCACAUCCCCUUUUUUACCAGUCUUCCAUGCUGCAAAGGAACCCUAGAAUGGAAAAUCCAGAAAAAUGUUUUUCCUCUCCUCACAGACUUCAGUGCCUAAUUACAGUCUCCUAAUUAGGGUCUUUGACAUCUAGGGACAGCAGGAAAAAUUGCUAAGUUGUACGUAUGUAUGCUAUUCCCUUGCCAUUUUUUUCCUUUAAUAAGACUAUAGCAGAUAAGACAAAUCUUGUUACCUUUCUAAAUUAUAUGAAAUUCAGUACUGAUUUGUCCGCACUAUUGAGCAUUUAUCCAAGUUUUAGCCCUAGCUGCUUUAAGUGGAUUUGCCCCUAGUGUCAUGGAAGAACUUUUUAAAUUAUAUUUAUUUUGUGUUGGGUUUUUUUUUUAAUUGCACAAAACACUAAGUUCAUGUAAGUUUGUUUGGGUUUUUUUAAAAAGCUUUUUGUUCUUUCUAAACUUACUUUCUCAGCUUUUUUGGAAAGGGCUUGGAAGUAACCUUCAUGCAUUUUUGUCAAGUUCUCUUUUCCUGUUUUUUUUUGGCUGUAUUUAGCAUUGCUUCUCUCUAGACAUGGUUAGCCUCCAUAUGUAUAUAAACCAGGCUUAGCUUUAUGAGUUUCACAAAAAAGCAGGUUGUUCAUUCCCAAUGUUGGUGCCUUCUCUUUUGGCCAAGAGCCCUCGUGCCACAAAGGUCUCUCCUUGUUCCUGCUACCCUCUGCCUGGUCAUUAGAUAAAAAUGCAAAUUUUCCUAAAACACCAGCACAUAGUGCCUGUAUGAAAAGCA